rnacentral:lncRNA from 1 species
GUGGGUGGGUGGGGAGGGAGGGAGGGAGACAUAUGGGACGUGUAUAGUAGCAGUGGGAACAUGUGGGUCUGAGCGGAAGUGAUGUCAUUGGUGUUUGGUAACGUUAGGGGUCUGUUUGGGGUCUUUGUUUACGUGUGUUGUCAUUGUAAAAUUCUAUUUAAAAAAUGAAAACACUCACACUUUACAGUUAUACAGUUUACAGUUAUACACUUUACAGUUAACACUCACACUUUACAGUUAUACACUUUACAGUUAACACUCACACUUUACAGUUAUACACUUUACAGUUAUACUACACUUUACAGUUAUACAGUUUACAGUUAUACACUUUACAGUUAUACACUUUACAGUUAACACUCACACUUUACAGUUAACACUCACACUUUACAGUUAUACACUUUACAGUUAUACAGUUUACAGUUAUACUACAUUUUACAGUUAUACAGUUUACAGUUAUACACUUUAAAGUUAUACACUUUACAGUUAAUAUGGGGCUAAAUAUAGGGGCUAUAUGGGGCUAAAUAUAGGGGCUAUAUGGGGCUAAAUAUAGGGGCUAUAUGGGGCUAAAUAUAGGGGCUAUAUGAGGCUAAAUAUAGGGGCUAUAAGGGGCUAAAUAUAGGGGCUAUAUGGGGCUAAAUAUAGAGGCUAUAUGGGGCUAAAUAUAGCGGCUAUAUAGGGCUAAAUAUAGGGGCUAUAUGGGGCUAAAUAUAGGGGCUAUAUGGGGCUAAAUAUAGGGUCUAUAUGGGGCUAAAUAUAGGGGCUAUAUGGGGCUAAAUAUAGGGGCUAUAUGGGGCUAAAUAUAGGGGCUAUAUGGGGCUAAUACUGGAAACCCCCUAACUGGAAAUUUCUCACCUGUCUGAACUCUUUAACCCUCUCAGAGACAGGACGUUUCUCACCUGUCUGAACUCAUUAACCCUCUCAGAGACAGGACGUUUCUCACCUGUCUCAUCUCUUUAACCAUCUCAGAGACAGGACAUUCCUCACCUGUCUGAACUCUUUAAACAUGUCAGAGACAGGACGUUUCUCAUCUGUCUGAACUCUUUAACCAUGUCAGAGACAGGACGUUUCUCACCUGUCUGAACUCUCAGAGACAAAGUCUGUAUCCCAAAUAGCACCAUAAUCCCUAGCCCCUGUACAGGGCAUUAUGACCUUUAGACCAGGGACGGCCCAUUUCACCAGCGAGGGCAAAAGUAGUGCACUGUAUAGGGUACGGGUAUUCAGAUUGGAUCCCUAUGAGGUCAAGAGCCCAUUGGUUCUCUGUUCUGGCUGAUCAUUAUUUACACCCACCUGUUGUCCCAGGUCUAAAUCAGGCCCUGAUUUAGAGGGGAUAUCACCAACGUGUUGUCCCAGGUCUAAAUCAGGCCCUGAUUUAGAGGGGAAGAAUGAAUAAAAACAGCGGAACUGUCUUCCAGGGCCAGAGUUGAAUUUGUGGAUUACAGGGGAAAAGGGCGCCAUUUGGGACAGAGCCAUAAUGUUUCUAAACCAUCUCUUCCUCUGGCUGCUACUAAACUGGAGAGUCCAACACCGUCUAACUGAGUCACACUGACUGGCUAUAAUGAUUAUAAUAAUAACUGGCUAGAACCAUGGAACCAUAGUUGAGAACUGGUUCCAACUGGCUAGAACCAUGGAACCAGAGUUUAUAACUGGCUAGAACCAUAGAACCAGAGUUUAGAACUAGUUAGAACCAUGGAACCAUAGUUGAGAACUGGUUAGAACUGGCUAGAACCAUGGAACCAUAGUUGAGAACUGGUUAGAACUGGCUAGAACCAUGGAACCAUAGUUUAGAACUGGUUAGAACUGGCUAGAACCAUGGAACCAGAAUUUAGAACUGGCUAGAACCAUAGUUUAGAACUGGUUAGAACUGGCUAGAACCAUGGAACCAUAGUUGAGAACUGGUUAGAACUGGCUAGAACCAUGGAACCAUAGUUUAGAACUGGUUAGAACUGGCUAGAACCAUGGAACCAGAAUUUAGAACUGGCUAAAACUAUGGAACCAGAGUUUAGAACUGGUUAGAACUGGCUAGAACCAGAGUUUAGAACUGGUUAGAACUGGCUAGAACCAUGGAACCAUAGUUUAGAACUGGUUAGAACUGGCUAGAACCACGGAACCAUAGUUUAGAACUGGUUAGAACCAUAGUUUAGAACUGGUUGCGAUACAGAGGUUGAGAUUUAAAAAAACGUGAUGAUCUGGACCACGUGUUUCUGUGACGUAAUACACGUCUUUCUUGAUGACGAGGAGCACGAACUCUUUACUGAUGAAAACACUCGCCUGUCUUGAACCUCUUGAGUAGUCUAAUAUCGUGGCUGCGCGCUGCUAUUGGCCCGUGAGCACAAAGGGGGAAUCCGAUUGGGUUGUGGCGGUGCCUUGCUUUGUUUUUUUUUCUAUGUAACUCUGUUUCUUGGCAAAUUUUAAUGAAACUGUUUUUCUUUUCAUAAUGUGGCAUUUUGUAUUUCAACUUAUAAAGCCCAAUAAAACUUCCCUGAGAAACUCCUGUGUGUUUUUUUUUCCUUCUUUUUAACUUCCUGACUCGAUGAUUGACAGGAGCACAUGGUUUACUUCCCGCCUCUCUGGAAUGUUGGGAAGCCUCCGUCAUCAUCUUGACAACCUCGCUACAGG